GAUGAACGCUGACAGCAUGCUUAACACAUGCAAGUCUUUGGCGAAGCUGUGCUUGCACAGCCUAGCCAAGGCGGACGGGUGAGUAACGCGUAAGGAACUUGCCCUGCAGUCAGGGAUAACAGACGGAAACGACUGAUAAGACCUGGUAAAGUCAGGCGGACUCAUGUCCAGCCUGAUGAAAAGAGAUGCUGCAGGAGAGCCUUGCGUCCUAUUAGCUUGUUGGUGGGGUAACGGCCCACCAAGGCGAUGAUAGGUAGCCGGCCUGAGAGGGUGGACGGCCACAAGGGGACUGAGAUACGGCCCUUACUCCUACGGGAGGCAGCAGUGGGGAAUAUUGGACAAUGGGGGCAACCCUGAUCCAGCAAUUCUGUGUGCACGAUGAAGGUUUUCGGAUUGUAAAGUGCUUUCAGCAGGGAAGAAAAAAUGACGGUACCUGCAGAAGAAGCGACGGCUAAAUACGUG
rnacentral:rRNA from 1 species